GGCCGGGAUCUUCGGACCGGUCACUAUUGGAGGAGCCUGCGUUGGAUUAGCUUGUUGGUGGGUAAAGGCCUACCAAGGCUACGAUCCAUAGCUGGUCUGAGAGGACGAUCAGCCACACUGGAACUGAGACACGGUCCAGACUCCUACGGGAGGCAGCAGUAGGGAAUAUUGUGCAAUGGGCGAAAGCCUGACACAGCCAUGCCGCGUGUGUGAAGAAGGCCCUAGGGUUGUAAAGCACUUUCAGUAGGGAGGAAUUAGUAGGGUUAAUAACCUUAUGAAAUGACGUUACCUACAGAAGAAGUACCGGCUAACUCCGUG
rnacentral:rRNA from 1 species